GGUUUUUAAUUAAUAAUUUAAAAAAUUAAAAAUAAAACUAAAAGGACGCGGUAACCUUGACCGUGAUAAUGUAGCAUAAUCACUCGCCAUUUAAUUGAUGGAUAGUAUGAAUGGUUGAACGAAUAUUCCACUGUCUUAGAAGGAAUUAAAAGAAAUUGAAAUAAUAGUUAAGAUGCUAUUUUAAACUGUAAGACGAAAAGACCCUAUAGAGCUUAACUAUACCCUCUUUUUAACCUAAAAAAAUUGUUUUUAAUAUUAUAGAGGUUGGUAGUUUAGUUGGGGCGACUGUCUUCUACAUUAAACGAAGACAAGCAAAAUUAAUAAAAAAUUUAUUGUAUAAUAAAAUCAUUUAACAAUUACUAUAGUAGGCUAUAUUGACCCGUUUUUACUACGUAAUAAGAAAAACGAUCAAUUGAUAAAAGCUACCUUAGGGAUAACAGGAUAAUUUCAUUUUAGAGUUCAUAUCGAAAAUGAAGUUUGUCACCUCUAUGUUGAAUUAA
rnacentral:rRNA from 1 species